GAGAUUAAUUUAUUUUUGAGUAUCGUCGUCUCGUCACUACUUUUCGUGCUGACGACGACAACGCUCAUUAGGAUAUCCGUUCGGCUCUCAGCAGCCAUUUUUCUCGCAUGUAACACGUUUAAAGCCAGUAUAUCUCUUUAUCAACAUCGUUUGAUUCAUGUUCGUGGUAAUGUAUAUAUAUAUAUGAAUGUGUGUAUACGCACAUAUAUAAACUCAAUGUGAUAACUCUUGCAACUAGUUACUUUAAGACUAGCAAACUACUACUAACAGUAACAACAGUGGAACGAUAACUAAAGAAUAAGACAAGAAGAAGACUGGUACAAGGUGGGCCGAAAGUUCUAAGUUUAUCGCUGUACGUGUAACGGGCUCUCAGUUGAUGUUCGCUUUCGUUUAAUUCUUUUACAUCAGCUGAUACAGUGUAAAAACUGUUUAGGCACGUGUAUGUCUGCUGUGUCUGUAAUGAUAUAAACGAAGUCACAUUUUUCAUAUUUUUUUCUUCGAAUUUUUUUUUAUUUCCAUAUUUAAUCAAGUUUAAUUUUAUAACAGGAAGCAUCGUUCGGAAGUAAAAGCGAUUCGAUUAUCGUCAUUAACGUUAUUGGCAUCGUCGUUAGGUUCUAACCAAACGUUGAUCGUUCGUUCCAAAGAGGGAGAAAAGGAGAGGAAAGGACGUGACGACGCCACUGGAAUUGAAGCUCGAGUUCUCGUGAAGCACACAACGGACAACUACGACGAUGCGUACACGCGACGUGUCCUCAUCACGAAUAUUCGUGAUGUCAACGAUGAUUCUAAUUUCCAUUUGGGUUGCUAACAUAUAUUUCAUAUUUUUAUCUUUUUAAAGGUCGCAAACCGAAAGGAAUUUCUUUUAUUUUUUUUAUAAAGAAGUCGCCAAACAAAAAUGUAAUUUUGUUGUUUUCGUUAUCAAAAGAUUAUGAAAAUAAAUGCUCGAUCGUUUUUUUUUUUUUGUAAAAUCAACGUUAAUCGGAUUAUCGGAUUCGUUUAUAUUCAUUAUCAUUCAUGAUUGAUCGAUUGUGAAUUAUUCAAAAGCGCGGGUAAUUUAAAUAUCAAUAGUCGAGUAGUUACGCGAAAAUGAUUGUUUUUGUAGAAAGGAGGAGAAACACGUGCGCUUACAUUGAUGGAGAAGAAGUAGAGUGUGGUAGUGGUCGUAGUGUGUAGUGUAGUAAUAAUAAGAGCAGGAGUGGGAGGUUAAGCUAUUUCGAUAGUGGAGGUGGAAGAAAAAUGACGAAAGCUAAGCGCAAGAAAAAUACAAUUCUUUGAGCGAGAUUUUAAUAAAAAAGAAAAAUACUUCGCGCAUUGACAAAAAACGCGAAUGGACGACUUUGCAAUAGUAAAAACCGUAGAAAAGAGAUCACGUGUUACUCGAUAAGAAAAAAAGAUUAAAAUGUUUGCAACCAUUUAAAAAAAAAAAAAAAAAGGUAAAAGCGACGCCAUGAAAUGCGAGUACGAGGCACAUGGCACGUAGCCCACGAACCGAAACACGUCCAUCACAAAACUUCACGUUUCAACAAAAAUUUGAUUGUAUUAAUUUAAAAUAAUUCACAG